CACAGUGAAACCCAGGGUUUCACAGUUAUGCCUUGCUCCAUUUGGAGACUGGACUGGAGGCUUGUGGAGACAUUUCAAAUCCUUCCAGCAACCUGGAGAGGGAAAAAUAAUCAUUAGCUGGAGCAGGAGGCAGCAGGAGGUACCAAUCCUGUGCAUGAUGGGAUGAGCACAAUCUGACAUGGGGAAGGGAUGAGGAAAGGACCACAGAGGGCUGGAUGCAGGUGGCUUGGAGACACCUGCUAUUUAGUCCAAAGUGGUCAGAAAGCUAAAAGGAAAGAGUUCAACUUGAGGCUACUUGAGCAAUUACUGGCAAAAACACCUUUUUUGUUGAAGCUUCUUACGUGUUUAGUCCUCGGAAAAACAGAUUGCCUGAGAAAAACACAAAAAGCACGUGAGAAUCAUUUGACUUUUGAAAGACAAUAAAUGAGAAAACAACAUGCGUUUCAUUUGGCACAUGUCCACAUUCAGAUCCCAAUGCAAUGUGUGCAGAAACAUUGACAUUUCAGAGGUGGAGAUCUUUAAAUUAGAGACCAGCAAGGACAAAGCAUGGCAUGCAAGGACAAAGCAUGGCAUGCAUGGCAAAAAAAAAAAAAAAGAGAAUGAUUUCUGAUGGCUGAUCAUAUUGGAACCCAAUAUGUACUCAAAGGAAAGUAAGGAAAAGGGGCUGAUGCCAACAAAAGAAAGAUCUUUUCAUCUACGUGAUGUGUGCAGUAAACCUGUGGAGCUUGUCACAGGGUGUCAUGGAGGCCAACUGUAUGAAUGGGUUCACACAGAAUUUUUUCAAAACCCUGGAGAAUUUCAAUAGGACAACUCAGCUCAGCAGUCUGGCUUCAAGAAUGUUGCUGUAAGCAUCUGUGUUUCAUUCAGGCAGUCUCCAAACAUCUGCUCCACUGGAAAAGGCAGCAGAUGCACAAAGAUGCACUGACAGAGUUGUUUAUUGCCCAGCGUGGCAAGGAAAGUCUGGGGGUUAAUGAGAUAAUCUCUUACUUCACAGGAUGUGGAGGGCAGAUUUUCAGCUGCUGUAAAUCAGUCUAGCUUCCUAUGUUUCCAUGAGGCCCUGGAGAUUUACCUUUGCCAGUGACCUGGCCCUGUCUGUCUGUUCUAGACACAAUAGGACAAUAGUUUCCAGCAUGCCCUCAAGAGCUCCCCUUGCAUUCAAAGCCUCCUAGAAAAGCUCUUCAGACUUUGUGGGAGUGCACAGAGGAGUUUCCCCAUGUCUCUUUGGCCUUUUAAUCCUAGGAUCAUUAAGGCUGGAAAAGCCCACUAAGAUCAUCUAGUCCAACCACCAACCCAUCCCCACCAUGCCCCUCAGUGUAACAUCUACCCUGUUCUUGAAUGCCUCCAGGGAUGGUGAAUCCACCACAUCCCUGGGCAGCCUGUUACACUGCCUCACCACUCUU